rnacentral:rRNA from 1 species
CACGUAGGAGGCGAGCGUUAUUCGGAUUUACUGGGCGUAAAGCGCGUGCAGGCGGUUCGGUAAGUUGGAUGUGAAAGCUCCUGGCUUAACUGGGAGAGGUCGUUCAAUACUGUCGGACUUGAGAGCAGUAGAGGGAGAUGGAAUUCCGGGUGUAGUGGUGAAAUGCGUAGAUAUCCGGAGGAACACCAGUGGCGAAAGCGGUCUCCUGGACUGUUUCUGACGCUCAGACGCGAAAGCUAGGGUAGCAAACGGG